rnacentral:rRNA from 1 species
UGAUAUCUCUAGAAGACAUCUGAAAGAGAUUAAAGAUUUAUCGGUGAUGGAUGGGGAUGCGUCUGAUUAGCUUGUUGGCGGGGUAACGGCCCACCAAGGCGACGAUCAGUAGGGGUUCUGAGAGGAAGGUCCCCCACAUUGGAACUGAGACACGGUCCAAACUCCUACGGGAGGCAGCAGUGAGGAGUAUUGGUCAAUGGACGAGAGUCUGAACCAGCCAAGUAGCGUGCAGGAUGACGGCCCUAUGGGUUGUAAACUGCUUUUAUAAGGGAAUAAAGUGAGUCUCGUGAGACUUUUUGCAUGUACCUUAUGAAUAAGGACCGGCUAAUUCCGUGCCAGCAGCCGCGGUAAUACGGAAGGUCCGGGCGUUAUCCGGAUUUAUUGGGUUUAAAGGGAGCGUAGGCCGGAGAUUAAGCG